CCAGACUCCUACGGGAGGCAGCAGUGGGGGAUAUUGCACAAUGGGGGGAACCCUGAUGCAGCGACGCCGCGUGGGUGAAGGAGUAUUUCGGUAUGUAAAGCCCUAUCGGCAGGGAAGAAGCAAGACGGUACCUGACUAAGAAGCCCCGGCUAACUACGUGCCAGCAGCCGCGGUAAUACGUAGGGGGCGAGCGUUAUCCGGAUUCACUGGGUGUAAAGGGAGCGCAGGCGGUUCUGCAAGUCUGAUGUGAAAGCCCGGGGCUCAACCCCGGGACUGCUCUUGGAACUGCGUGGCUGGAGUGCAGGAGGGGCAGGCGGAAUUCCUGGUGUAGCGGUGAAAUGCGUAGAUAUCAGGAGGAACACCGGUGGCGAAGGCGGCCUGCUGGACUGCAACUGACGUUGAGGCCCGAAAGCGUGGGGAGCAAACAGGAUUAGAUACCCGAGUA
rnacentral:rRNA from 1 species